AAGGAUGUCAAUUGUUAUAUUAUUUAUUUGAAAUGCAGACAAUUUAUAUUUUAUUGAGCCUGACGAGUAUACAUGACUGUGAUUCACCAAAAUGAUUACAAGACGACGAAGGAGCAACCUAAGAAAGUGAAAGAAAACGAAAAGAGAUUAAACAGAAGACGACAACAUUACAAUACUGCACCAGAAGAUAAUGAUAACAAUAACAAUUAAUUAAACCUACUUCUGAUAUAUAGUCGCAGACAUGUGUCACUUACGUAGUUCCAAUAAAAAGAUUACCCCGUUCCAAAAAUGAGAUCAAUAACAAAUUGGUAUGGCUCCUUCGUCCUCUUCUUCUCCUGCGUCAUCUCUGUCCCCUUUCUCCCCUCCUGCUCCACUGCCUCCUCAACUGUCCCCUCGUUUUACUGCUGUAAGUACACUACUGUUUGUUUCCUGAGAAAAAAUUAUGGAAGGUGAUAGAAAAGAUUGAAGAAUUUUCAAAUUUUUUUUUAAUUAUUUGCUUUUGGCAGAUUCAAGAAUGCGAAAUAGAAGAACUAGAAGAUGCAUACAGUGAAGAGAGAAGCCAAGGGAAAGCGAUAUCAAUACCAACACCAACAUAUUGUGUGGAUAAGAGAGAGACUCCAAAGCACCUGCCAACACCUCUUCAUGACAAAAACGGCAAGCCCAGCUCUAUGAAACGGCAUGAAUCUAGUGAAAACUGUGGAGAAGAUGGUUCCGUUUCUUGCAACAAGUGCCGUCCACACUCGCGAGAGAAGAUUUCUGUGGUUCCUUUGGACAACAAUGGAUUAAACAAGCACUCAUCGUUUAUUGCAAGUCCUAAUGGACUCUUCAAGUCUAUCUUCUCUUCACUGACGAGAAAAAGUCCAAAAUCUACGGAUAUAUCGACAGCCAGAGAGGAGCACUACAGGAUUGCCGUGGCUGAGCUCUCGCAUAAGCUGAUUCAAGCCACGAGAAAGAGAGAUGAAGCACUUCUUGAAGCUUCAAGGCUAAAGUAUUCAAUGACAGAACUCGAAAAGAAGCUUAACAAGCUUGAAGUUUAUUGCCAUAAUUUGAAGUCAGGGCUUGACCAGUGUAACAGCAAAUCACCGUAUCGAGCUGGGAAAGGUUUCGAUAUCCAUCAUCAUCAACAAAACAGUGUUAUGGGUUGUAGUGACAAGGUAAUAGAGCAAUUAUUGGUUUCAGUUUCGGAAGCUAGGUCCUCGGUUAGGCUUUUGAGCAGGUCACUCACUAUGCAACUAAGGCACAUGGGAGUCAGAGUUUAUGAGAGAAUAUCUGUUCUGCUUCAACCGUAUGACAUAAAAAUUUCAUUCUCCAAGAAUCCCAAAAGUGUUCUUUUUUACCUUGAAGCCUUGUUGAAUAAAGCUUUCUUUGAAGAUUUUGAAACUGUUGGGUUCCAAAAGAGUUCUACAAAUCAAAUAUUGAACCCAAUUGAUAGAUGUGAAGCAAAUUAUGCAUCUUUUAAUGUGCUAAAGGAGUUAACAUGGGAUGAGGUGUUGAAUAAGGGGACAAGGCAUUUCAGUGAAGAGUUCAGUAAGUUCUGUGACUGGAAAAUGAAUGAGAUUGUAGCUAUGUUGGGGUGGAAUAGAGCCUGGCCUGAGCCACUGUUGCAGGCAUUCUUUGGUGCUUCUAAAAGUGUGUGGUUGGUGCACCUUUUGGCCAACUCGGUGCAUCCUGGUUUGCCAAUUUUUCGGGUGGAUAAGUGCGUGAGGUUUGAUUCGGUUUACAUGGAAGAUAUGGGUGGAGACAGAGCAAAGAAGUUGGUCCCAACCAUGGUCCGGAUCAUGGUUGCACCUGGGUUUUAUGUCUAUGGCAACGUGGUCAAGUGCAAAGUACUUUGCAGGUACUGUAACAAUAAUAACAUUAACAAUGUUGGUGAUGAAAAGGGUUUGACCCUUUCUCCUUAGGGUUUACUUUAUCCAAAAUCUGAAAUAUUUUGAUUACUUUGUUAACACUUUUGCUGUUAUUGCUGUAUGGAAUUAAGUGAUAUGAUCAGGGAUUUAUUGAAUUGGGGACUUUUGGGUCAAAGUAAGAAAUUGGCAUUUUAUGAUGAUUUUGUUUUGUUCUUUGUUUUGUCAAGUUUUAUUGUCAUCCUUACAUAUUGCUUCUUGGGAAUUGAAUUCCAUACAACAGAUAGAGUUUUCCAUGGUUCCUAUUUCCCAACUCCAUGGACGUGGAAUUUACCAUAAGAAAGAAGAAAAAAAAAGACCCAUGUGGUAUGGCAUGUGGAAUAGAUGCUUGUCUUGUGACCAUUUUUUGGAUUUUCUACAUGAGUUUUAUCCCAAUAUGUGGCAGCCCUUCUCUGCGUGGGCUGUCUUACAACUCAUAAUUCUGAAAUGUCCAGCUCAUUCCUUACAUAUCAAUUAUCUUACCUGCUAAUACAUUACAUGGAUAGCUCUAAGUUGUUUUGGCAACAAUUUGGUGUGCUUAUUGAACAUAAAGACGUGAAUUCCAUAUGAUUCUUUUUCUCCUCCUCCU
rnacentral:misc_RNA from 1 species